rnacentral:rRNA from 1 species
CCUACGGGUGGCAGCAGUGGGGAAUAUUGCACAAUGGAGGAAACCCUGAUGCAGCGACGCCGCGUGAGUGAAGAAGUAUUUCUGUAUGUAAAGCUGUUUCAGCAGGGAAGAAAAUGACGAUACCUGACCAAGAAUCCCCGUCUAACUACGUUCCAGCAGCCGCGGUAAUACGUCGGGGGCAAGCGUUAUCCGGAUGUACUGGGUGUAAAGGGAGCGUAGACGGCAGGGCAAGUCUGGAGUGAAAGGCGGGGGCUCAACCCCCGGACUGCUCUGGAAACUGCGCGGCUGGAGAGCAGGAGAGGUAAGUGGAAUUCAUGGUGUAGCGGUGAAAUGCGUAGAUAUUAGGCGGAACACCAGUGGCGAAGGCGGCUUACUGGACUGUAACUGACGUUGAGGCUCGAAAGCGUGGGGAGCAAACAGGAUUAGAUACCCUUGUAGUC